AGUACAAAAAUCUAGACUACACCACUGAGAAGUGAGCAAGCAUCUUUCAUGCACGCGCCUGUUUGAACUUCAAGAGUGAAUCGGGAACAGCGCAGAACUGUCACUUGCCUCAUCAGAGGACUGAUCUUAUUUUAAUGAAGAGAUGGAGAGGAAACAGCAAAUCAUUCUUUUCAUUUGUUUGUUACAAGGUGUUUGGUGUGGAGAUUGGAGCAUCAGUCUGCCAGAGAAGAUUGAAGCUCUGAGAGGAUCCUGUGUGACCAUAAACUGCACAUUUACUAUUAAUGACACAUAUGAUGAUAAUCUCACUGACAUUACUGCAGGAUUGUGGUAUAAAGAUGUGAUUAAUGCAAAUAAUAUAUUGUUUAACUCAAGCAGUCCUGAAAAUGGCAUAAAUGGGAAUUUAACAGGGAAAUUGAAAAACAAGGACUGUACCACCAUUUUCUAUAAAGUUACUUCAAUUCACAAAGGCAAAUUUUUCUUCAGGAUUGAGGGUAAUGGUGGACUGAAAUAUACCUAUAAACAAAAAUCUGUCUCAAUAGAUG